rnacentral:rRNA from 1 species
GAUGAACGCUAGCGGCAGGCCUAACACAUGCAAGUCGAGGGGUAGCAGGAUUAAGCUUGCUUAAUUGCUGACGACCGGCGCACGGGUGCGUAACGCGUAUGCAACCUACCUUAUACUGGGGUAUAGCCCGGAGAAAUUCGGAUUAAUCCCCCAUAGUACUAAUGAAUCGCAUGGUUUAUUAGUCAAAGCAUUGCGGUAUAAGAUGGGCAUGCGUCCUAUUAGCUAGAUGGUGAGGUAACGGCGUACCAUGGCUACGAUAGGUAGGGGGCCUGAGAGGGUGGUCCCCCACACUGGUACUGAGACACGGACCAGACUCCUACGGGAGGCCGCAGUGGGGAAUAUUGGUCAAUGGGCGCAAGCCUGAACCAGCCAUGCCGCGUGCAGGAAGAAUGCCCUAUGGGUUGUAAACUGCUUUUAUUUGGGAAUAAACCUCUUUACGUGUAGAGAGCUGAAGGUACCAAAUGAAUAAGCACCGGCUAACUCCGUGCCAGCAGCCGCCGUAA